ensembl:lncRNA
GCGAAAUAAACAUUAAAUGUUAAAUAAACACUAUACAUUUGGUCCUUUAUAAAAACAUAUAAGCUAUUAAAUACACUAUGUCCACGAGGUUAGAGAAUAAAUAUAUAUACAUAUAUUUCUUUUUUUCAUUCAUACAUUCAAAUCGAUGGCAUGCAACCGUACAAGGUGACAGCCAACUCGUCGGAAGUAGUUAGGGUGAGGUGUCUUGCUCAGAGACAUCUCGACACUUUGCUUUCAGGGGUGUCUGGGCCUUUGGGGGGACUCCACUGGCCACCAGAGGGUCGGGUUUGCUGGUUUGCUUCCUUCUGGUCGCCAAUGAUGGACGAGUGUUACCAUAAAUGGGGCAGGUCAUCUCUUAAGGAAAACCAAGCAAAAAAGAUGCAUUCCUAUUAUGAUUAUUUGAAACACAUGAUAAUUAUCGAACAGUUGGGCCGCUGGGUACGAUCUCAAAUUCCGAAAAGGCACAUUACUUGCUUAAAUGUUAUCAGAGUGCAUUUGAAUGCCAAAACAAGCAUAUUGUGCUUAGUAUAAAU